AAAUCGUGUUCAUGUGUUAAAUCAGGACACAAUAGAGCAGGCAUUUCAUGUGGUGAUGGACCAGAAACUAUGAUGGUGUGAGUGGUAUCACGGACAAUCAAUGGCAUUCCAUCCAUCAUAUUCUUCAUCUUGGCAAGGAGUUCAUAACGGACAAAUUAGCGGGUAAGCCUAGUUUUUCCAAUUGGAUUAUGGAUACAUGAGCAUCUCAUCAUUUGAAAGAAAAAUUAGAUAUACUGACAAAUGUGAGAGAUAUGGCUCCAGUUUCGAUUAUCUUGGCUGAUGGUAGAGAAAUAGUAUUU
rnacentral:sRNA from 1 species